AGCGAACGUUAGCGGCAGGCCUAACACAUGCAAGUCGAGCGAGAAAGGGGCUUCGGCCCUGAGUAAAGCGGCGGACGGGUGCGUAACACGUGGAUAAUCUGCCCUUUGGCGGGGGACAACAACUCGAAAGGGUUGCUAAUACCGCAUAAGUCGGCUGUCUCGAUGAGGCGGUCGGGAAAGAGGGCGCCCGCAAGGGGCUCUCACCAGAGGAUGAGUCCGCGGCCCAUCAGCUAGUUGGCGGGGUAAAAGCCCACCAAGGCGUAGACGGGUAGCUGGUCUGAGAGGAUGAUCAGCCACACUGGGACUGAGACACGGCCCAGACUCCUACGGGAGGCAGCAGUGGGGAAUAUUGGGCAAUGGGCGCAAGCCUGACCCAGCCAUGCCGCGUGAGUGAUGAAGGCC
rnacentral:rRNA from 1 species